rnacentral:rRNA from 1 species
UGAGGAAUAUUGGUCAAUGGGCGAGAGCCUGAACCAGCCAAGUAGCGUGAGGGAUGACUGCCCUAUGGGUUGUAAACCUCUUUUGAUUGGGAACAAAGAGCGCCACGUGUGGUGCGUUGCGUGUACCUUUCGAAUAAGCAUCGGCUAAUUCCGUACCAGCAGCCGCGGUAAUACGGAAGAUGCGAGCGUUAUCCGGAUUUAUUGGGUUUAAAGGGAGCGUAGGCGGGCUGUUAAGUCAGCGGUCAAAUGUCAGGGCCCAACCUUGGCAUACCGUUGAUACUGGCGGCCUUGAGUUCACACAAGGAAGGUGGAAUUCGUCGUGUAGCGGUGAAAUGCUUAGAUAGUUCGCAGAACGCCGAUUGCGAAGGCAGCCGCCCAGGGACGCACUGACGCUGAGGCACGAAGGCAUGGGGAUCGAACAGGAUUAGAUACCCUGGUAGU